AACAUAUUACUUAAAUGCCUGAUUACGUGGUGGUUUUACUUAGCAACUAGCUAACCACGUGCCAUGUUAGCUAGUAUGCUAGCUUGCCAUUUAGGUGUGACCGGACCAUCAAGUCGUUAUAAACCCAACGUUAGGUCUCUGCUACGGUGAUGAUAAAAUGAACUCUCUCUUACCGAAUCAGCCUUUGAAGAAGAAACUUCUUUACCAGAUUCUGAGUAGCAUUUGGCCCUGAUUCGACUGUCGUCGCUGCGCUAAUGACACCCAAUUCUCAAUAGUGUACUACUUAUUAACGUUGAUCUGGUCAGAAGUAGUCGACUGUAUUGGAAAUAAGGUUCCAUUAGCGACGAUAUCAAUGUCGGGUUCUAUAUGCCUGCGUGUUGCCUGUUCAUAAAGGGACCUCCCUAACUUUCCCCCUGAUCAACAGAAAUGCAGGACAGUUGCCAGGGAAGUCCAGAAGACUGACACGUGAGUGCAUUGACUUACCACCAGGAUCAUUAGAUGUGUUCAACUUGUCAGCCCUUCGCCUUUAGGAGAUUCGCCAGGGCCCUUUAUCUAAUUCCCAAAUAUAUGGAUACAAUUUCAGUGUAAAGGUAGAUUUGUAAGUGAAUAUUAACUAGCAUUAGCGCAGCUAUUAAGAAUAUGGUUAUCAGCUAGCAUGCUAGAACAUACCUGCUGACUUCCAGUCAUUAUGCUAGCUUUAGUGAGCAUUGGCUUGCUAAACUACAUUUAAUUUACCUCAGUUUGAAUCUGACAUAACAUAUGUAUCCAUGACUUUAUCUGGCUGGGGAAGUAGAUUAAGGUCCUCUGCCCUAAAUCCCUAAGUAUCUAUUUGUAGGGAAGUGGACUUUGGGGUGGACUUUCAGGUGGUAACUGACUCACACGUGACUGGCUGUAAAUGAUGAAUCUUAAUGACAAGCAUAUAUCUGAUUUUUGGUGAUGCUAACUUUGAUCUGAUGGCCUCCUUGUCCUGUGUUCCAAAGCCUCUUGUAGUAAUAUACAGACUAGUAAGUCACUAACAUGGAUGUGUUCUUUGCUCAGGUCUGCAUUACUUGUGACGCGACUUCCUGACUAAGGCAUCUGAACAGAUUCUCCACUUGGAGUUCCAUUCUGGAAUAGGGAUGUGUGCUGCAUUCAGACCACGAGACUGAUGCGCUUUGUGAAAAUCCAGACGUGGGGAUGAAGUUUCCUGAAGGGAUUAACACUACCUUACCUGUUUGAGUGCUGUGGUCAGUGGAAUUGCAGCGUGGACUCCAACAUCCUGUUGACUGUCCUGAAACAAGAUGGCUGUUCUGGGCUGCUCUAAGCUAUGCAGGUUCUUCUGUUUGUGGCUGAAGGAGCCGUGAUGCCAACUAGACUGGUCCUGAUGGUGGUACCAGACUGGUCACUAGAAGAUGCCUGUUACUGAACUACCACAAGGUCCUGACUGUUGUACCAGACUGGCCACUAGAAGGAAGCUCUUUGCUGUGACAGUGAAUGAAGUCAAAGGUUUCUGCCCCCCUGGUUGAGGUCCUAGUGUCUGCAGUGUUUGGAAAGAGCUCGUUGGCUGCUGAAGUGUUGCUGUGCUGGUGGAGCGGGAAGCUCUCCUGUUGUACACUGGCAAGCCCUCUUGGUCAGCAAGGAAGAGGGAUGUCUUGUUGGAACUGGGGAAAAUCAGGCCAAGUCAAUUCAACCCCAUGACUGUUUUGAUGUGUAAAUAAAUCUACAAAUUAAUGCUUGUCUAAUUUUUCUUUCUCGGUGGUAGUAAAUCAGACUUGGUGAAUUUGGCCAUUUUGAAUGAACCAUGUGGUCUGAAAUCAAUACUGAACAAUGUGACAUUUCCUUCAUAUCAUUAUGUAGUUAUUCUAGGUGGUUAUAAACUUGCACAUGUAACGGGAUUGACAUUGUUCACUGGCUAUAGAAAGUUGACUGAAUUAUUUUAAGCCGUUGUGUUUUUGGGAGGAAUUUAUUGUGAGAUGCGUGUUUCAUCAUGGAGUCUAUUUUAACGAUACGGUGGGACAAUUUUAUAGCUAAUAUAUGGAACAGACUUGGUUUACACUGAUAUCAAAACCGCUAAAGAUGGUGGUUAAAUGAAGCAUUCAUCCAAGUAAAUUCUGGUAUAUUUAACGGGCGGUAUCAUGGACAUUAAUGUUCCAGUAGUCCCGAAAACCCCCCAAAUGAGUUACCUCUGGUUCUUUCAACCAUACCUACGGUGGAAUCAAUCGGGUUUUUGACCAUGUAGCGCCAUUAACCCCAUCUGUUGGCCGUGAAGCACAGGGGUAGAGAAUUUGGGCUCACUACAAGGUAUGAGCGUUUGCGCUUGAGGCUAGUUUCCCGGACACAGAUUGAGCCUUAUAUUAGAAUUUUGGUGAACAACAGGAGAAAAAAGCCGUCCUGUACAGUUCAUAUUGCGUGCCGUUUAGUACUGGUCUGCGUCACACCAGUCAUAUGGCACCGAUCACAUUUUCCUGUCGAGCAUAAAUUGGCUUUUAGGAGAUUCUACAUUUUCUGAGAUCCGUUAACUUGACCAUUAUAGCAGGGGCUUUUAAUUUCAGUACAAAUGCUUCAAUUGUGUGACUGUUAGCUGAUCUCAGGAAAAAGGUUUACGCGUGAAUUUACCACAGAUCUUGUUUUCAGUGUUGAUGUCAAAACAUUUUCCCAAAGGAUUUGUCCAACGAACCGUGGCGGAGUUGGUGCCCAACAAGAUGCCAUUACUAACUGCUCUCUAUAGCAGCUGGGUCUGGUCUACCUAGUUAAUGAAAUGCAACACAUUUUCCAGCGAAUGAUAGUCCCGUUUCCCAUCCGUCUCAAACCUCAUUGUGGCAUUUUUGUGUGAUGUAUUGUCUCCACCUUCUUGCCUUUUGUGCUGUCGUCUGUGGCCACUAAUGUUUGUACCAUGUUUUGUGCUGCUACCAUGUAUUGUUGCUACUAUGAUGUGUUGUGUUGCUGCCUUGCUAUGUUCUCUUAGGUCUCUCUUUAUGUACUGUAUUUAUUUUGAAUCCCAGGCUCCGUCCCCGCAGGACGCCUUUUGCCUUUUGGUAGCCGUCAUUGUAAAUAAGAAUUUGUUCUUCACUGGCUUGCCUUGUUAAAGGUUAAAUAAAAAAAUCAGCGCACCCUUUUUCUA